AAAACUCACCAGGUCAGGACACGGUAAGGAUUGACGGACUGAAGGCUCUUUCUCGAUUCCGUGGAAAGUGGUGCAUGGCCGUUUUUGGUUGGUGGAUCGAUCCGUCUGGUUAAUUCCGUUAACGAACGAGACCUCGGCACUCCGAAUAGCGCGGCGGACGUCGCGGCCUCCGGGCCGUCUUCCGCACGAGCUUCUUAGAGGGACCGUCCCCCGCCGGGGAAGGAGGUGCGAGGCAACGACAGGUCUGUGAUGCCCUUAGAUGUUCUGGGCCGCACGCGCAUUACACUGACGCGUCCAACGGGUGACUCCCGACCCGAAGGGGCCGGGGAAUCCGCAAGGCGCGUCGUGAUGGGGAUUGAACGUUGCAAUUGUUGUUCACGAACGAGGAAUUCCUAGUAGGCGCGGGGUCAUCAACCCGCGCCGAUUACGUCCCUGCCCUUUGUACACACCGCCC
rnacentral:rRNA from 1 species